AUUGAACGCUGGCGGCAUGCCUUACACAUGCAAGUCGAACGGCAGCACGGGGGCAACCCUGGUGGCGAGUGGCGAACGGGUGAGUAACAUAUCGGAACAUACCCUAGAGUGGGGAUAACGUAGCGAAAGUUACGCUAAUACCGCAUACGAUCUAAGGAUGAAAGUGGGGGAUCUUCGGACCUCAUGCUCAUGGAGUGGCCGAUAUCUGAUUAGCUAGUUGGUGAGGUAAAGGCUCACCAAGGCGACGAUCAGUAGCUGGUUUGAGAGAACGACCAGCCACACUGGAACUGAGACACGGUCCAGACUCCUACGGGAGGCAGCAGUGGGGAAUUUUGGACAAUGGGGGCAACCCUGAUCCAGCAAUGCCGCGUGAGUGAAGAAGGCCU
rnacentral:rRNA from 1 species